rnacentral:rRNA from 1 species
UGCCCGUUGGAGAACUGAAAGGCCGCGGUAUUAUGACCGUGCAAAGGUAGCAUAAUCAUUAGUUUUUUAAUUGAAGGCUAGAAUGAAUGGUUGGACAAGAAAUAAUCUGUCUUAAAUUAAUAUAUUGAAUUUAACUUUUAAGUGAAAAGGCUUAAAUGAUCUAAGGGGACGAUAAGACCCUAUAAAACUUUAUAUUUUAAGGUGGAGAUUAAUUUUAUUUUAAGGUUACUAUUUUAAAUUGUUUUGUUGGGGCGACAAGGAUAUAAGGUAAGGAUAACUGUCUUUUAUUCUUACAAUAAUGUUUGAAUUAUUGAUCCUAAAAGGGAUUGAAGAUUAAGUUACUUUAGGGAUAACAGCGUAAUUUUCUUUAAGAGUUCUUAUCGACAAGAGAGUUUGCGACCUCGAUGUUGAAUUAAAGGUUCUUUAUAGAGUAGAGACUAUAAGAGAAGGUCUGUUCGACCUUUAAAGUUUUACAUGAUUUGAGUUCAGACCGGUGUGAG